GACCAUCACACCUCUCUGUGCUCUCUCUGCUCUCUGCUUUCUUCAUCUCCAGGUCUCCCAUCUGUCCCUGUCUCUACCAUCCUCAUCCUCACUCUGUCUCUCCAUGGGAGUCAUGUCCUCCCCCAGGUUCCUGUCACUUCAUCUGCUUGGAGCCUUGCUGCUGCCGCUGCUGCUGCUGCCUGGUUCUUGGGCCCAGCAUUAUGAUGAUUUCACAUCAUCUCCAGAUUACGACUCUGACUACAACUCCACCUUUGAGUACAGCUUCUUCAGUAAUACGAGCAGCGAGGACCUGGACAGACUUGUGGAACGCUACCUCGAUCCAGACGAAACUACGGAGGACACUGGAGGACCAGAGGAGGAAGUGGCUGUAACCAUGGUGAUUACAAGAAGAACAACAGAGGGGGUCAACGCUCACGGCACUGCACCAUUUCAGGUAUGUUUGGUUUCUGUGGUCAGGCUGAGAACUCUGCUGAGCCUCAUGGUUCACCAAACCCUGAGUCAAAGCCAAACCUUCAGAGGCAGCCGAUGGAAGACAGCACACUGCUCAGUAGACCAUUCAACACUUUAUUACUUCUAGAAGGGAGAUGCGUCCUGCACAACACGUUGCUGCAGAUCUCAAAAUGCUGGAAAUCAGGACGCUGCUCUGGACUCUGGUGAUCCUGUUGGUCCUGCAGCAGCUGCAACACACACUCUGGUGACAGGUGUCGAGACAAGCCCCUCAGCUCCGUCCUCAGUGAACAUGGCUCCUCAUGGGAGCAGGUGGACCAAUCACAGAGCUUCUUUCCUGAACCAUUUCAGAAAGUUUGCAGACAAACGCCUGGAAGAUUUCACUACGUGGUGACAUUUUUAUUAUACGUAAAGAAGUUUUUUGAUGGAACUGCUGAAUAAGCCAUACUUUAGAAAAGAUGUUUAUAUUUGUAAUAAAAAGAUGUUUUUAAAGACAAUAUGAAGUUAUUUUGUGUCCUUAUUGUGCAAACAAACAACAUAAGUGUUUGUAGUUGAGUGCAAACAAGCACUGUGUUACAGAAUAAACAUGUUGAUGGACGGGGUCAGCGGGGGCCUGGAGCUUUCAUUUUUUCUCCAAAUCACAAGUGUUGUUGGCUGAACUGUGAAACGUCAGCUGAAAGAUUUCUAUUACAGCAGAACCGUCACUGUGCAAACGUUUGCAUCUGUUCAUAUUCAGGAUCCAGGAGCGGAUUUGGAUCCACAGUUUAAUCACAGAUUUAUUUGACUUGCGAUACAUUUUUGAUUGUGCUGUUUAUAGUUUUCCUCUAAAUCCUGUUUGUUUGCAUAAAAAAGACACAAAAGUGACAGAAUAAAAACACGAUUGUAUGAAUGAGCAUAUUUGCAGAUACAUUUAUAUAUAAACAAAUAAAGAUGAAGUAUUUAAAGUGGACCCCAGCAUCCUCCGUGGUUACAAUCAUCAGUUUGUCAGCGACAUGUUUGAUUGUUUAUUUGGAUGUUUGAUCUUCCUGUUCGAAAAAACAAAACUGCAGUCCCAUCGACAACAUGCUGAAAACUAUUUUUAUUAAAAAAUAAACAUUUUCCAAAACGUU
ensembl:lncRNA